GGGGCUGAACGGUUUCGACUUUGGUCGUUGAAGCCAAGAGAAGCGAGCCGAGGACCCAGGGUUAUCUCGUUAACGAUCCUUGGAAACCAUAAGUGCUAAAGCUAAUCGCACUGACUUCGCCCUCGCCGCCUGAGGCGACUGGUGAAGGGUCGGUCUGGAUAAGCC
rnacentral:tmRNA from 1 species